GGAAAAUGAAAUAUUGCAUUUAAAAAAAAAUGUUGGGCAGCUUCAUUAACAGAGUGCUUGUGUUGCUUCUUGGAUAUGCGUAUCCUGCAUUUGAGUUCUUUAAAACGAUGGAGAAGAACAAAGUUGGGAUCGAGGAACUCAGAUUUUGGUGUCAAUAUUGGAUCCUUAUGGCAUUUCUGAUAGUAUUCGAGUGGA